rnacentral:misc_RNA from 1 species
AGCUGCUGCCGGAGCCGCUACCGGAGCCGGAGCUUUGGCUUCUCCAUCGGCGAAUGGCUCUUCUUCUACCAAGUUUUCUUACUUGGCUUCUUUGCAAUUUCCCAGAGAGCUUCGUCGUGUUCAAAUUGGAAACUAUGGGUUGAAGUCAAAGAAAGGGUCUUCACGUCUUGUUCCUCUGGUUGAAGCAAAGAAGCAAACUUUUUCUUCCUUUGAA